rnacentral:lncRNA from 1 species
GGUCUUUCCUAUUCACCUUUCCCCACUUCUUUAAUCAAUACAGUGGCGUAUUCUUUUUCUCAUAUAUAUCUAAUCCUAUGUUCCUUCUACCAUCGUUUCUUUUCUAGAGUUAUCGAUGAAAUUAUCAAUGAAGAUGACAAAAAUCUGAAUGUUGAGAAGCCCUUAGGAGGGGAGGUUGCUACAGAUGGAAACAAAGAAACAUCUACAAUUGAAAUGGAAGAGAAGAAACCCGAUGAUAAAGUUAAGAUCUUCGUAUGGAUUAAUUCAUGAUUUCGUUACUUUAGUGGUUGUUGUCUGCUACUUCCAUAGGUCAAUGUUUGAUCCUCUUCUCCUAUGUUCACGUAACGUCUUGAGAGAUGAAAGCUGUUGAAUGAAAAAGAUCCCCCUUCUUCUUCUUUUUAAUGAUGGGUUUUUUGAUUUUCAAUAGAUCUUUACUCUUAAAUGAUUAAUCUGAUGAUUAUUUAUAUGAACUUCAACUUUUUUACAGGGACAUUGAUGUCGUAAGUGGAUUUAGACUGUACAUGGUUUCUUCUUGUUUCUGG